rnacentral:lncRNA from 1 species
UUUAGACACCAACAAUAUUGACUAUUGUAAAGGUAAGGAAAGAAAUAUUUUUAUAAACAAUCUAUAGCAAUUAUAUAUAGCUAUACAAAAUUAAUAAAUUGAAUUGGGCCCUUUUGUUAUGAAUUAUAAAUAGGAAAAUCAUAUUUAAGAAAAAUGAUAUUGGACCUUAUACAUUCAAGGAAGCCUAUUAAACUAUUAUUUC